UUAUGAUCUUCCUCAUAUAUCCUUCCCUUUUCUCUGAAAACCCUAAUUUCAACUUUUUUUUUUGUAUCCUCUAAGAUGACAAGAUCAGUUUAGGGGAUUGUUGAAGCAAUAAGCUUAUGUGUAGAUGUAAAGAAAAAGAUGGAAGGAAAUACAUGUGACAUCAAUCACUUGGAUUCAGAUGUGCUUUUGCCUCCGCGUAAACGGCUUCUAGCAGGAUUGAAAAAACAGAAUUUUGAUGAUAAUCCAUGUAGUCCAUCCUCUUCUACUGAUGAUGUUACAGAUUUUGAGUUCGAUAUCCGUCUUAAUAACCUGUUGAAGUUUCACUCGGAUGAUUGUAAUCGUUCCAUUGAGGAGAUUGUCGAGGCCUCGAGAGUGGCAGCUUUAAAAGCUGUUGAGCUUGCAAAAGCUGCAAGAGCUGUUGCUGAAGAGAAAGCUGUGAAAGCAUCAGAGGCCAUGGCUGCUGCUAAGAGUGCUAUGGAGUUGGUUGCUACUGUUUCUGGUGAGGUUACAGAUAGAGACAAGUACUCGAAGAAGAAGAAGAAUAAGUAUAAAGGGAUCAAGAAUUGUACAACGGAUGAAGAUUUAGCUCGGACGUUAAGUAGGACAAUAAACAGCUCUCCAAGACUUUCGAAGAACUCAACCUCUGACUCAAGAAAUCAAAAACAUAAGAGGCUUAAAAGAUCUUCUCCUUCCGAAAAUGCUAAGCUUCAGAAUGGAAGUACGUCGUGGGAAGCAAAUCGACCUUCCACGAGCAAUGGGAUUGAUAUUGCUGGAAAUAAGGCAUCAAAUGGUCCUAGCCAGGAGAAAGAACUAAUUAGAGUAGACUUGAGCCUAGCGAAAUUCAACAAAGCGGAUCUCAGAAAGAUGGAAAAUGGCAAAGGAGAACCAAUGAACUCAAAGGAGGAAUUCGGGGAAUCACCAAAUGAUACAUGUAAUGUUGACAAAAAGAAGGGGCGGAUGAAGCAGAAAACGUUACCCCUCAGUAAUUGCAGUCUCAGGGAUAAAGUGAACCCAAAAAGGACAUGAAUUUCUAAAGUUCAUCGUCACCGGAUGAGAAGAUCAACAAAGUUACUGCUAUUAAUGAGCCUAUGUUUCCAGUUGAUAGGUCAUCUACAUUGAAGUGCCAAACUUUUAAGGCAUCCACUUGCGUUGAACAAUAAGUUGAUGCAAUCACAGUCUUCGUAUUUUAGUUUCAAGUGAGGCAGCUACCAUGAUGGGGCUUAUAGUCUGAGGAUUUUGUUAGCUUCUGGAGUUCCAUUUCCAGAUACUUUUUGUUAGCAGGAGAUGUCUGGAGACUAAUUUAUAUCUCUUCAUUUCAUUAAUCUCAAUGUGUAACAUUAUUUCUGAUGUAGAUAUGUUAAAGAAGUAGCACUAUUUGUUUUUUGGUGUCUUAAGAGGAUUAUAAACAAAUACACCAUUAAUCCAUUGUAAGCAUGAUGUUUUUUCUUGAAUGAGUAAUUCAAUCUCUUCAGAGUUUGU